GCAGGGGUGGCUCAGAGGUUAAGAGCACUGACUGUUCUUCCAGAGGUCCUGAGUUCAAUUCCCAGCACCCACA
rnacentral:tRNA from 1 species